rnacentral:rRNA from 1 species
UACGUAGGGGGCAAGCAUUAUCCGGAAUUAUUGGGCGUAAAGGGUGCGUAGGCGGUUAAAUAAGUCAGAAGUUAAAGACCAGGGCUCAACUCUGGGGGUGCUUUUGAAACUGUUUAACUAGAAUAUCGGAGAGGUAAGUGGAAUUCCUAGUGUAGCGGUGAAAUGCGUAGAUAUUAGGAGGAACACCAAUGGCGAAGGCAGCUUACUGGACGAAUAUUGACGCUGAGGCACGAAAGCGUGGGGAGCAAACAGG